rnacentral:rRNA from 1 species
AAUGGGUCAGCGACUUAUAUUCUGUAGCAAGGUUAACCGAAUAGGGGAGCCGAAGGGAAACCGAGUCUUAACUGGGCGUUAAGUUGCAGGGUAUAGACCCGAAACCCGGUGAUCUAGCCAUGGGCAGGUUGAAGGUUGGGUAACACUAACUGGAGGACCGAACCGACUAAUGUUGAAAAAUUAGCGGAUGACUUGUGGCUGGGGGUGAAAGGCCAAUCAAACCGGGAGAUAGCUGGUUCUCCCCGAAAGCUAUUUAGGUAGCGCCUCGUGAAUUCAUCUCCGGGGGUAGAGCACUGUUUCGGCAAGGGGGUCAUCCCGACUUACCAACCCGAUGCAAACUGCGAAUACCGGAGAAUGUUAUCACGGGAGACACACGGCGGGUGCUAACGUCCGUCGUGAAGAGGGAAACAACCCAGACCGCCAGCUAAGGUCCCAAAGUCAUGGUUAAGUGGGAAACGAUGUGGGAAGGCCCAGACAGCCAGGAUGUUGGCUUAGAAGCAGCCAUCAUUUAAAGAAAGCGUAAUAGCUCACUGGUCGAGUCGGCCUGCGCGGAAGAUGUAACGGGGCUAAACCAUGCACCGAAGCUGCGGCAGCGACGCUGAUGCGUUGUUGGGUAGGGGAGCGUUCUGUAAGCCUGUGAAGGUGUGCUGUGAGGCAUGCUGGAGGUAUCAGAAGUGCGAAUGCUGACAUAAGUAACGAUAAAGCGGGUGAAAAGCCCGCUCGCCGGAAGACCAAGGGUUCCUGUCCAACGUUAAUCGGGGCAGGGUGAGUCGACCCCUAAGGCGAGGCCGAAAGGCGUAGUCGAUGGGAAACAGGUUAAUAUUCCUGUACUUGGUGUUACUGCGAAGGGGGGACGGAGAAGGCUAUGUUGGCCGGGCGACGGUUGUCCCGGUUUAAGCGUGUAGGCUGGUUUUCCAGGCAAAUCCGGAAAAUCAAGGCUGAGGCGUGAUGACGAGGCACUACGGUGCUGAAGCAACAAAUGCCCUGCUUCCAGGAAAAGCCUCUAAGCAUCAGGUAACAUCAAAUCGUACCCCAAACCGACACAGGUGGUCAGGUAGAGAAUACCAAGGCGCUUGAGAGAACUCGGGUGAAGGAACUAGGCAAAAUGGUGCCGUAACUUCGGGAGAAGGCACGCUGAUAUGUAGGUGAAGUCCCUCGCGGAUGGAGCUGAAAUCAGUCGAAGAUACCAGCUGGCUGCAACUGUUUAUUAAAAACACAGCACUGUGCAAACACGAAAGUGGACGUAUACGGUGUGACGCCUGCCCGGUGCCGGAAGGUUAAUUGAUGGGGUCAGCGCAAGCGAAGCUCUUGAUCGAAGCCCCGGUAAACGGCGGCCGUAACUAUAACGGUCCUAAGGUAGCGAAAUUCCUUGUCGGGUAAGUUCCGACCUGCACGAAUGGCGUAAUGAUGGCCAGGCUGUCUCCACCCGAGACUCAGUGAAAUUGAACUCGCUGUGAAGAUGCAGUGUACCCGCGGCAAGACGGAAAGACCCCGUGAACCUUUACUAUAGCUUGACACUGAACAUUGAGCCUUGAUGUGUAGGAUAGGUGGGAGGCUUUGAAGUGUGGACGCCAGUCUGCAUGGAGCCGACCUUGAAAUACCACCCUUUAAUGUUUGAUGUUCUAACGUUGACCCGUAAUCCGGGUUGCGGACAGUGUCUGGUGGGUAGUUUGACUGGGGCGGUCUCCUCCUAAAGAGUAACGGAGGAGCACGAAGGUUGGCUAAUCCUGGUCGGACAUCAGGAGGUUAGUGCAAUGGCAUAAGCCAGCUUGACUGCGAGCGUGACGGCGCGAGCAGGUGCGAAAGCAGGUCAUAGUGAUCCGGUGGUUCUGAAUGGAAGGGCCAUCGCUCAACGGAUAAAAGGUACUCCGGGGAUAACAGGCUGAUACCGCCCAAGAGUUCAUAUCGACGGCGGUGUUUGGCACCUCGAUGUCGGCUCAUCACAUCCUGGGGCUGAAGUAGGUCCCAAGGGUAUGGCUGUUCGCCAUUUAAAGUGGUACGCGAGCUGGGUUUAGAACGUCGUGAGACAGUUCGGUCCCUAUCUGCCGUGGGCGCUGGAGAACUGAGGGGGGCUGCUCCUAGUACGAGAGGACCGGAGUGGACGCAUCACUGGUGUUCGGGUUGUCAUGCCAAUG